GAACGUACGCUGGCGGCACGCCUAACACAUGCAAGUCGAACGAAGUAGCAAUACUUAGUGGCAGACGGGUGAGUAACAUGUAGGUAUCUGCCCUUUGGCCUGGAAUAACACGAGGAAACUUGUGCUAAUACCGGAUAAGUCUUUACAGAGAAAGCUUUAUGCACCAUUGGAUGAGCCUGCACUUGAUUAGUUUGUUGGUGGGGUAAUGGCCUACCAAGACUGUGAUCAAUAGCUGAUUUGAGAGGAUGAUCAGCCACAUUGGGACUGAGACACGGCCCAAACUCCUACGGGAGGCAGCAGUGGGGAAUCUUGCACAAUGGAGGAAACUCUGAUGCAGCGAUGCCGCGUGAGUGAAGAAGGCCUUUGGGUUGUAAAGCUCUUUCGUCGGGGAAGAAAAUGACUGUACCCGAAUAAGAAGGUCCGGCUAACUUCGUGCCAGCAGCCGCGGUAAUACGAAGGGACCUAGCGUAGUUCGGAAUUACUGGGCUUAAAGAGUUCGUAGGUGGUUGAAAAAGUUAGUGGUGAAAUCCCAGAGCUUAACUCUGGAACUGCCAUUAAAACUUUUCAGCUAGAGUAUGAUAGAGGAAAGCAGAAUUUCUAGUGUAGAGGUGAAAUUCGUAGAUAUUAGAAAGAAUACCAAUUGCGAAGGCAGCUUUCUGGAUCAUUACUGACACUGAGGAACGAAAGCAUGGGUAGCGAAGAGGAUUAGAUACCCUCGUAGUCCAUGCCGUAAACGAUGUGUGUUAGACGUUGGAAAUUUAUUUUCAGUGUCGCAGGGAAACCGAUAAACACACCGCCUGGGGAGUACGACCGCAAGGUUAAAACUCAAAUGAAUUGACGGGGACCCGCACAAGUAGUGGAGCAUGUGGUUUAAUUCGAAGAUACGCGCAGAACCUUACCAACACUUGACAUGUUCGUCGCGACUCUAAGAGAUUAGAGUUUUCGGUUCGGCCGGACGAAACACAGGUGCUGCAUGGCUGUCGUCAGCUCGUGUCGUGAGAUGUUGGGUUAAGUCCCGCAACGAGCGCAACCCUCACUUUUAGUUGCCAUCAUUAAGUUGGGCACUCUGAAAGAACUGCCAGUGAUAAGCUGGAGGAAGGUGGGGAUGACGUCAAGUCCUCAUGGCCCUUACGUGUUGGGCUACACACGUGCUACAAUGGCAUCUACAACAGGAAGCAAGACUGCGAAGUUAAGCAAAUCCCGAAAAGAUGCCUCAGUUCGGAUUGCACUCUGCAACUCGAGUGCAUGAAGCUGGAAUUACUAGUAAUCGUGGAUCAGCGUGCCACGGUGAAUGCGUUCCCGGGUCUUGUACACACCGC
rnacentral:rRNA from 1 species